rnacentral:lncRNA from 1 species
AGAAGUGAUGACCGCAGGAAGAGGCGCUGCCUUUUUACCUGCCUGUCGUCAUUGUGAGCACACAAUCAGUCCACAGGGUCCAGGUUACCGUCUCCAUCUGUUGACAUACGGAAACCAAGGCAACCAAGCCGGCCUCCUGGCCUUCCUUACCCCAAAAUUCCGAGCAGAGACUCCCCGGGACAGAAUCUGUUGUUGGUGCACAACCUCUCCCAGAAAGAACUUGGUGUCCUUAGGGACAAGUUCUUGGGCAGAUCAUUGCAGUAGAGUACUGUUUUAUUGUGAAAACUUGAGGCUGGACUCCAAUUAAUAGCCAGAAACUACAGGAGAAAAUAAGAGUGAAGUCGUGUAUACUGAGAAAUACGAGACGCUUUCUGCAGAAACAAAGGAUGUACAUGCAAUGAUGCACUCAGACAAACUCUCAGAAAGCUGAGAUGAAUCUAGGAAUAUCAAGAUUU